GAUGAACGCUAGCGGCAGGCCUAAUACAUGCAAGUCGGACGGGAUUUGGGAGCUUGCUCCUAAUGAGAGUGGCGCACGGGUGCGUAACACGUAUGUAACCUACCUUAAUCAGGGGGAUAGCCUCCCGAAAGAGAGAUUAACACCGCAUAAUAUAUUUUUAUGGCAUCGUAGAAAUAUCAAAUAUUUAUAGGAUUAAGAUGGGCAUGCGGAACAUUAGCUAGUUGGUAAGGUAACGGCUUACCAAGGCUACGAUGUUUAGGGGAUCUGAGAGGAUGACCCCCCACACUGGUACUGAGACACGGACCAGACUCCUACGGGAGGCAGCAGUAAGGAAUAUUGGUCAAUGGGCGCAAGCCUGAACCAGCCAUGCCGCGUGCAGGAAGACGGCCCUAUGGGUUGUAAACUGCUUUUGUACCGGAAUAAACCCUUUUACGUGUAAAAGGCUGAAUGUACGGUAAGAAUAAGGAUCGGCUAACUCCGUGCCAGCAGCCGCCGCUGUAA
rnacentral:rRNA from 1 species